rnacentral:pre_miRNA from 1 species
UUUGGCAAUGGUAGAACUCACUCCGGUGGGUUAGAAGGAUCCGGUGGUUCUAGACUUGCCAACAA